rnacentral:rRNA from 1 species
CGCGUAGGCGGCCUGGUAAGGUUGCGGUGAAAGCCCGGGGCUCAACCCCGGGUCGGCCGUGGCAACUGCUGGGCUGGAGCACUGUAGAGGCAGGUGGAAUUCCGGGUGUAGCGGUGGAAUGCGUAGAGAUCCGGAAGAACACCGGUGGCGAAGGCGGCCUGCUGGGCAGUGGCUGACGCUGAUGCGCGACAGCGUGGGGAGCAAAACA